AUUAUUAUUGCAGAAGUAGAUUAGGUGAUUUAAAAAAAUUCUAGGGCAACAAGAUACAGCAGAGUUGCUGAAUGACAUUCACUUAAAUUGUCAUACCAGCCACAUAAAAUAAAGCAUCCAACAUUAACUUAAAAAAAAUCACCUAAAAACGAAGUUGAAAUACUGACUUAGUUGAUUUUAUUCAUUUGGACAGACCUUGGAGCAAGCUAAAGUAUUUUUAUUGAUCUUCUAAGAAGCAGAAGGUUGAAUAUCAUCUACAAUAUUGCUGCAACUGCAAAUUCUGCUUGGCACGGCUAAGUUCUCUCGCCGUAACUGAGGAGCUUCUUACUGCCAGAGCAGCAAAUCUAUCCGCCAAGAUCCCUCCGAUGUGUCUGACACUUCAAGCACACCCGGUAAAGAUGGAGAGGGCCUGCAUCUCAUCCAAAAUCCCUUUACAUUGGGGUCCCACAAGUCUCAGUGCUAGGAUUGAUGGCUGCAGAACGAAUGAUGGAC